UUUUUAUUUUUGCAAUGUUUUCUUAGUCUUAUCCUUCACGGGUCAUUAUCGUUAUAAAUUUUAGAUGAGAUUUUCAACUACUUUCUCGCGCUAUAUGUCAUUAUGUAUUAGUAAUAUCCAUUUAGAUUUUUGUUAAGAUUCUCGACCAUGUGGUGUCACAUGCCGUUAAUCUUGGGGCCGGGGGUUUUGGAUUACGUGAGGGCGGCUCCAAGGGUUCGGCCUGCGAGCAAACAGGUAAUUGCUAAUCUUCCGGUGAUCAUGAUCACGGAGGAAGCGUUGAAGAAGCUCGGAGAGGACGCCGACUGCUACAUUUGUAAGGAGGACUUGGUUGUCGGUGACAAAAUGCAGGAAUUGCCCUGCAGGCACACUUUUUCACCCUCCAAGCCUAAAGCCAUGGCUGGGAAUUCGAAUUUUUGAACGAGGAGCACAAUUCUAGUCCGAUAUGCCGGCAUGAGCUGCAGACGGAUGAUCACGAGUACGAGAGUUGGAAGGAGCGGGAGGAGGAGGCCGAGGAAGACAGAAAAGGAGCUGCGAAUGCUAUUGGAGGUGGUGAAUACAUGCACGGGGCUUUCAAGUGCGGAAGGAGAGUGAGCCGACCAAAAGCAGGCAGCAGAGCCACUUGCAGGCGCACUUAGAGCCCAUCCCAACGGCUAGAACACAUGUCCAAACUCCAUAAACAAACAUACUAAGGCCUUCCACUGUAAGUGGAAAAAAAAGUCUGAUACCGAUAUAUUAAACUCUUCAGGAAUUACUCUCAUAGUGUGCCGAAAAAUAUGAGUGUAAUACCAAUAUAUUAAUGAAGUCCAAGUUCAAUAGACGUUAAACAAACAAAAAAAUUGACCUCGUACAUAUAUUUGUCAUAUUCCAUUUUGGUCCAGAAUAAGAGGCAUAUGAUGUAAUAUGGAAGCAUGAAAAUUGAAGCAACAUAUUUUUACGAGUAGCAAA